UCUUGCACAGUUGUUAGGAGUCCCAUUUUGUUUUUUUUAACUUUAGUUUUGGAAACUCCUGAAGAGAUUAAAUGUAAUCUAUUGAGAAUUAUCUCCUGAACUUGUGCUUAAUGACCGUUAUGACUGGAAAUGAAAGAAAGGGUGGUCUCUGACUUGUGCACAGUACUAUAUGUGUAUGUAUACUAUAUGCUGUAUGAUUACAGAAUUUGCAUUACUCAAAUGCCAUAAUAAUGCCAUCUGUCUUAAUCCACAGCACAACUCUAACAGGCCUGACUACUGUGUACUAUGAGAGACAUUUUUACCAUCACCUGUUUUUCACCCUCUGAUUCAUUAUAGAAAACUGAUUGAGAAACGAAAUGUUAAAAUAUUUAUUUUUUUAUGUUGUGAGCUCCUCCUAAACAAGAAGAGGGCCAACCAGAUUUUCUCAUGUAAUUGCCUAGGUGGUGCUAGUGAGCACAGCACUGAGCUUUAGGAGCAGUACAAAGCUGCAGCCCUCACAGUUUCAAGCUCACACUCAAGGAUAACAGGUAAGAGGACUGUUCAUAACUUAUCAUCAAGCCUUCCAGGACUGUAUCAUUAUGAGCACACAAAUUCCUGCUUUAUGUACCGGGGUAAGUUCAUCCAUUCUCAUUACCGUUUUCUGACGAAGACAACCUGCCUCAAGUAGUAUUUAAUAGCAUUAUCUGCUGAUUUGGUAUUCAAGUGCAAUAAGAGAAAUGUAAAAGAGGAUGAUGUCAUAGUCUGAGAUGUAUUCAGGAGUAAUGACCAGGGUCAGUUUUUUUCAUUUUUGUAGGACAUUGGUUUGUCAUUAUUUUAAAGUGCUAGAACACUUUACAGUUCUGUUACAGAAAGGUAUAACUGUCAAAAGAUAUAAUGAUAUUAAAUAAUUUCAUUUUUGUGCACAGCAUCUUAGUAUUAACGGAUGAUGGGCAGGAUCUGUAAUUUGAAGACCUUUGGCUCCAAUGCAUAGAAACAUUUAAUGCAAGCAAGAGCAUCACAAUCCAGUUGAAUUCACCAAAAAUAGCAUUGCUUGUGAGUGAGCUUUGUGUGAUGAUUGGCAUGGCAGUGAGCUAGACCUUCAGCACCUAUAAAUUCACUGCAUAUCUCUCUCUCUGUCUCUCUCUCUCUAUCUCUCAUAACACUCACACAUUAACAGUAUCACACAUGCACAGAGUCUCUGUGAGACACGCUGACAGAGAGAGAGACAGAAAGAGAGAGAGAGCUUGUCUUGUGUAUAUAAGUUAUCCAUGGAGCCUCAUACCCUCAGACUUGCUUUGCUCCAGCUCCACACAGUGGAAGGGAUUGGGAAUGUCCUGACAUAACAUGCAUUUAGCAAUCACCCACAGUGUUUAUCAUUGUCUGGCAUACUGUUGCCCUGUAUUUGUCAAAUUCCUUUCAGGUUCAAGUUUAGUGUUACUUUUGUUUUGUAUCCAAAAAUAUUUCCCCAGACUAAUAAAGUGGACAAUGAUUGUAAAUCAAAGUUUGAUACGGCACUCCAAACACCUUCUCUGGCAUGGGUCAUAACUGGAGCAUAUAUACUCAUAGGCCACUUUAUGAGAAACACCUACACUUUAGGAAAAAACAGUACUCUGCAGGUACAUUUUUGUUCACCAAGGUACAAACAAUGUAAACAAUGUCCAAAUGUGUGCCUAUGUGUGUGUAUAUGUAUAUCGUUGCUGUCGGAACAAAACCUUGUGUCUCUACUUUUGUCGUUUUUCAGUUUUCAUAAUUUGAAAAUGCCUGCUGUCCUUUACAUUAUGUGCAAAUCUCAUGAUGAAUGGACCAAAAGAAACGGCCCAAAAUGACCCGGAAAAAUGUCUGGCUCCCUUGACUUACAUUAAAAGCAGCAUAAGGAAGCACAGGGGAGUGAUGGCAAUGGAGCCGAACUGCUAUUCACGGGGGAAAUGAUGCUGACUGCUGCCACGGAAACCAGCACCAACAGUUGCCUCACAACAGUGCUGUGCGGAGUAGCAUUUUAUCCAAGCACAGGCUGUUCUUGGCAAUCAGCAAACGUGCUGGACUGAUGUUUUGGUAUCAAAGGUCAGUGGGGUGGGUAAACCAGUUUAAGGCUGAUUUAGUGAGACAAUCCAUUUCGUUCCACCAGUUACAGCUGAAGGAAAAUCAAUAUGUAGCAUAUGGCAGCAUCAGGCUUUCCACAGCCCAACUACAGCUGAGGCAGAGGCAAAGCAUACCGUCUUUUAGGAAUGGGCAAUAUUACAAAACACUAUGAUUAUCGUGACAUGCUUUUCUGAAUGUAUGAUGUACAAUAUCAGUACUUCAACACUGAACAACUGCAUGUAUAAAAACACCAAUUAGCUCAAUUACAGAGAGCUAAUAAACAAUAAGUAGGGAGUAUUAACUGCAAAAACUGCCUAAGUAACUAAUUAUGCCAUUUACUUGCCAUACUUUGUAUAAUUUUCCUCCUGUGUUGUGUUCAAAAACAUCAGAAAAUAUAAAUAUUGUGAUACACAUCAGGUAUGAUGAAUAAACUGUCAAGUAUCAUGAUGUUAUAUUUUUUGCCAUAUCAGCCACUCUUACCCUAAAAUCUGUUCUUAGUAUACUCACACACUCCCCUCCCUCCAAAUUUCUUCUGCUCCACAUCUAAAGCCACCACCUACUCGACUCUAAUAUUCAGAGUUCCCUGACUGUGGAUCUCCUCACACUCGGGGUUCCCACCUGACUGGGCUUGAGCGCUGUGGACUGCAGAUUGGAUUACUGCUUAUCCGCAUCAGAAGCUGCAGCUUCCCAGCAAAGCCUCUGGGCCUCGGGGCACUUUUCAAGUGAAUUCACCAGCAGCUCCCCUCAGAGAGUAAUGGAACAGUGGAGGAAUAUUCAGCCUACAUAAUCCUCUCUCCCUUAGUCUCCCUGCCAAUAACUCUGACAUCUCAACUAGCCCAUACCCCAAACAGAUAGAGUAGGGGAUAAGAGAACAGCAGAGUGGCUUGUAGACACACUUUAACAUUUUCAGAAGUAGGGCUGGAAAAUCAGAGUUCAUUCCACUGACUCACUACAGAACCAGUGUAACAGUGACUGAAGUUAAAUCAUGCCACGACCACUGAAUCCAACACAAGCUAGUGCUACACUCUAAAGCAGGUGUUUAUUUUUAUUGUAGAGGGCCUUCCUGGGCAUGUCACUGACUAAAAAUGCCAAUGAGUUAAAGGAAUACAAUAAAUUGAGAGAUGGACAGCGUUAAUAUAUAUCAAAAAAUCAUUUCAUUCAGUUUUUCUUUGUUUGUUUAUGUUUGAACAUUGACCAAUAAAAACUGUAAAAAAAAGAGUUGUAAUAAAAGUCAUUAUUUUAACAUAA